CUCCGCCCGGGCGUUGGCAGCAGUGCGCGGGGUCUCCUCGGCGGCCGGACAGGGGCACGCACCUGACGUCAACACGCAAGAGACGUGACACAGGAUUGGUCAAUCAGAGCAUUAUAGAGAGCCCCGUAGCCAUCACAUUUCAGCAACAGGCAUGCAACUCGGUGAGGUUCACUUCUGGAACUCGGUCAAAACUGUUCAGUUCAAAAAAUCCAUUCACUGAGGGCAGGAUGUAAUCGUGGGACCACUGGCAGCCAGCUUCCCACUUCAAGGAGAGAGACUGUCAGAGGAUGAGACUACGCUGGAUGGGAGAAACCAAGCAGAGAGAUGGAGAUGCGAACCCUAGUACCAGUGGCACUGCGGGAGCCCCUGGGCCAGUCUUGCUUCAGUUGUCAGUCAUAGCAGCCAGCAGAGUUCCGCUACUGCCCAAGCCAGGCUGAGGAGGCCUCUGUCACAAAUAUAGGACUCUUGCUGAACCUCUCUGCCACCCUGGUCUCUUGUCUGUCCCUGUGGAGUACUUGUUGGCACCCCCUAUAUAGAUGACUUCCAAAUCUCUACCUCUUCUAUCCCCUAUUCCACUCCCAUUUCUAAAUUUCCACCUACUCAGAAGUCCCAUCAGCAUAAUCCAAGUGCUUCUCCAGCUCCUGUCUGCUCCGUAGGAGCAGCACCUAAACCUGCACUUGGCUGCUCCUGCCCCUUUGUAAAUCCAGGGGUGCCCAACCUUUUCUGCAUCUUAGAUCCUAUUUCUACAAAAUGUGUACCCAGUUUCUAGAGGCUUCCUUUAAGAAUCUCUACUUCAUCUCACCUGGUGCAGCAUUCAUCAUUCCAGAUCCCAACUCCCUGCUCCAAAAACCUCAGAGUUUUCUCCUCUGUCUUCAGAACAAUAUUGCAAGUCCUUUAGCUAAGCAUACUGGGUCCUCUGAUGUCUGCCACCAACUUACCAUUCCAGUUAUUUCCUCGUCCUUUCUGGUUCUCCAAUGAAAUAGAACCAAUAGGAUAUAGAUAAAUAGACUGAUGGGGAGAGCAGGAGAGAGAGAGAGAGAGAGAGAGAGAGAUUGGCUCAAUCAUGGAGGCUGCAAGUCCUAAGAUCUGCAGGAUGAAAAGCAAGCUGGAGAGAUCCAGGAAAGCCAAUGGUAUAUAAUUCCAGUGCAAGUUCUAAGGUCUGACAACCAGGAGAGCUGACAGUUUGUCUUAUUACAAAGGCCAGCAGGCUGGAUAUCUAGACAGAAUCGAUGUUUCCAUUUGAAUCUGAAGGCAAGAAAAAUUCUGCCUUACUUGAGAGAGGAUUAGCCUUUUUUUUUUUUUUCUACAUAGGUCCUCAACUGGAUGAGGCCCAUCUAGACAAGGCAGGGUGAUCUGUUUUACUCAGAUUUCUGAUUCAAAUACUAAUCUUAUCCAGAAACACUCUCUUAGACAUUCACAAUGUGUUUGACCAAAUAUCUGGGCACAAGUCAAGUUGACACAUAAAAUUAACCGUCAUGCCUUCUAUUACACAUCUUAGGCCACAGCUAGCCUGACUUAGCCUUGUACAAGCAGGUGCUAUGAUUUCUUGCCUCUCUGCCCCCGCUCAUGCUGUUCCGCUUACCUGAUCCACUUUUCCUGUUCAUCCAUCCUAUCUGUAAAGUCCCAGUCUCAUUCCUGCCAUGGACCACACCUUUUGCCAACACUGACCUUGUCUUUUCCCAUCUCUGCACAGGCCUCAGUAGACUCAAGAGAUUCGCUAUCUUCCAUACUCCUUUCUCUCCCCUUUCAAGAACUAACUUAGGCCUGAGCUCUGAAGCCUCCUGGACAAUCCCAGGCAGCCAAUCAUUCCUAUAAUAGUUGGUAUUUAAAGCAUGCCGUACUGAAAUUUGUAUCAUUUGUAUCUAUGCUAAUUAAAUCAUUAGGCUAAGAACAGGCAGAGGCCUUAUUUUA